CCAAACUCAAUCAACACUACUAAUUAAUUAAUUAAGAAAGAAAUUAAGCCAUGUCUAACGAUUGCCAAGGUAAGAGUGUUUGGCCAGAAUUAGUUGGAGAAAAUGGAGAUGUAGCAGCAGCAAUAAUAGAGAGGGAGAAUCCUUUGGUUAACACUAUCGUCUUGCUCGAGGGCUCGGAGACCACAAAGGAUUUCAGGUGCGACCGAGUCUGGGUAUUUGUCAAUGAAUCCAACAUAGUUGUUGAAGUGCCCAGAAUCACUUAAUUAUAUUUAUAUAUCAAUAAUUCAUGUUGUAAGUUAUGUCUUAAUUUACAUAUCAAUAAUGUUGUUCAUGUUUGUAAGUUCAAAUGAGCUUUAAUUAGCUCAUUAUUAUUAUAUAAUCAAAUAAAGUCAGGCCAAGUCUUUGGUCUGAUCAUCUUCUUAUUAUUA